rnacentral:rRNA from 1 species
AACGAACGCUGGCGGCAUGCCUAGCACAUGCAAGUCGAACGAUUGCCUUCGGGUGAUAGUGGCGCACGGGUGCGUAACGCGUGGGAAUCUGCCCUUAGGUUCGGAAUAACAGCUGGAAACGGCUGCUAAUACCGGAUGAUAUCGCGAGAUCAAAGAUUUAUCGCCUGAGGAUGAGCCCGCGUUGGAUUAGGUAGUUGGUGGGGUAAAGGCCUACCAAGCCGACGAUCCAUAGCUGGUCUGAGAGGAUGAUCAGCCACACUGGGACUGAGACACGGCCCAGACUCCUACGGGAGGCAGCAGUGGGGAAUAUUGGACAAUGGGCGCAAGCCUGAUCCAGCAAUGCCGCGUGAGUGAUGAAGGCCCUAGGGUUGUAAAGCUCUUUUACCCGGGAAGAUAAUGACUGUACCGGGAGAAUAAGCCCCGGCUAACUCCGUG